UGUGAUUCCCGCCUGGCCUGAGAGAGCCUUCAUGAUCUCCAUGACAUCUCACCCUGCAAAAGGAUAUUAGGAACAACUGAAAGGGGAUUGCAGAAGAGAACUAACAAUGAACUUCACGGAAGAUUCACCAUCUUGGAAAGAAAUCACUAUUUAGAAACACAGAAAGAGGACAUUAAGGAGUGGCCCUGUCUCUCUAGCUAAGCCAACUUGAAAGGUGAAAUCACUGCCCUCCCCCCUACGUGGGA